UACGUAGGGUGCGAGCGUUGUCCGGAUUUAUUGGGCGUAAAGAGCGUGUAGGCGGCUUUACAGGUCCGUUGUGAAAACUCGAGGCUCAACCUCGAGACGCCGGUGGAAACCGUAAAGCUAGAGUCCGGAAGAGGAGAGUGGAAUUCCUGGUGUAGCGGUGAAAUGCGCAGAUAUCAGGAGGAACACCCGUGGCGAAAGCGGCUCUCUGGGACGGUACUGACGCUGAGACGCGAAAGCGUGGGGAGCGAACAGG
rnacentral:rRNA from 1 species